UCUCACUGCACAUCAGGAGACCUUUGCUUCUUCUCUUACACUGAGCAUCUGGCGUGGCUUCUUCCUACUAUGGACCACGCAAUGUUUUGAAAAGAAAAUUACCAUGUGCCAAAUAUCUGGAUUCCCAGAAGUUUUAAGACAGCGAGCAAAGGAGAGAAAGUCUGAAGGGCCUCUGGAUCAAGACUUGCUUCAGGCUUGUUCUUUGGUAUUUUGAAGCAAUUUUUAGAGCCACACACAUUUAAGAUGUCUUUAUUUCCUCAGUGAAUUGAACUUUUCAUAAUGGUUAUACGCCCCGCAAUACCUUUGAAAUAGUCUGUGGAUGUUAAAACUGUAACAUACACAUGUAUGUAUGCAUGAGUGAAUACUUGGAGGAGGGGAGAGAAGAGUUGAUAACGAAGAAGAAGAGGAAACAAAAGCUGGGAUAGGUAUCCUUUCCUCCAAGAAUGAGAAUAUUGGCAAAUUGAAUCUCACAUCUCCCUUCCUCAAAGCAAGACCAUCCAAGUCCAGCUUCGAAGCAUCUGGUCCGUCAGUUAGUGGUAGCGGUGGAAAUACUUGGAUGCCUGCUUUUGAUCUGUCAGCAAGCCACCGAUGACCUCAAGUUCACAAGGGCUCGGUAUUCUCAUCUGGAAAAUGAGAUUGGUGGAGUCGAUGGUCUCUUCCAGCUUCAGAGUUCAUUGCUACAAGGAGUGAUGCAAGCUCACAAAGGAACUGAGCUGGCAAG